rnacentral:rRNA from 1 species
GACGAACGCUGGCGGCGUGCCUAAUACAUGCAAGUCGAACGCAGUGGGGACGGGUGAGUAACAUGUGGGUAACCUCCCAUCAGAGGGGAUAACACUUGGAAACAGGUGCUAAACCGAUACUGAUGGAUGGACCCGCGGUGCAUUAGCUAGUUGGUGAGGGAACGGCUAACCAAGGCAACGUUGCAUAUGCGACCUGAUGGGGUGUUCGGCCACACUGGGACUGAGAAACGGCCCAGACUCCGACGGGAGGCAGCAGUAGGGAAUCUUCGGCAAGGGACGAAAGUCUGACCGAGCAACGCCGCGUGGGUGAAGAAGGUUUUCGGAUCGUAAAACUCUGUUAUUAGAGAAGCGGUAUCUAACCAGAAAGCCACGGCUAACUACGUGCCAGCCGCCGCGGUAAUAC